rnacentral:rRNA from 1 species
CACGGGGGGAGCAAGCGUUGUUCGGAUUCAUUGGGCGUAAAAGGCUUGUAGGUGGCCACGUCAAGUCGGAUGUGAAAUCUCCCGGCUCAACUGGGAGGGGUCAUUCGAUACUGGCGGGCUCGAGGCCGGUAGGGGGAAGCGGAAUUCCCGGUGUAGUGGUGGAAUGCGUAGAUAUCGGGAGGAACACCAGUGGCGAAGGCGGCUUCCUGGACCGGUUCUGACACUGAGGAGCGAAAGCGUGGGGAGCGAACAGG